UACGGGGGGAGCAAGCGUUGUUCGGAUUUACUGGGCGUAAAGGGCGCGUAGGCGGUCAGCACAAGUCGGUUGUGAAAUCUCCGAGCUUAACUCGGAAAGGUCAACCGAAACUGUGCGACUAGAGUGCAGAAGGGGCAACUGGAAUUCUUGGUGUAGCGGUGAAAUGCGUAGAUAUCAAGAGGAACACCUGCGGCGAAGGCGGGUUGCUGGGCUGACACUGACGCUGAAGCGCGAAAGCCAGGGGAGCGAACGGG
rnacentral:rRNA from 1 species